UUAUUUUUGAUAUGCAUUAACUUUCAUAAAUUCCUUUGAUGUAAACCAAACCACUUUCUCUGCAUCAUCUGUAUGACUUAUUUGGAUAUUUUGUUGUAAAAUGUAAGAAGUAGAAUAUGCUGCUCCAGAUGCACUUUGACAAACUGGAUCAUUCUUUAUGUGCUUGCUUACAAACAACAUCCAUGCCACAGCAGGAUGAAAAACUAGUACAUUUUAACAAGAAACAAGGACACCAUUCUCCCACCUUCUGCAUCAAAAAAGCAGGUAAUUACCACUUUGGAUCACAGGGCCAAGCUGAUAUCCAAAGAUUCUGAGGGUGCUUGAAUUUGCAACUACCAGUGCUGUCUGACUCAUGGGAAAUAGGUACAGGAAGAUAAGUAUAUACUCAGAGUAUUGACAGAUAGUUACGUUAAUACAAUCAAUUAUGUUGUAGAUCCCAAUUUAUUGUAGCAAUAAGUUUAAUACAUCCUAAUGAAAAUAGCAUUAUGAAGGAUUUAGGUCAUGCAAACACAGAGACAUAAGAUAUGUCACAGGCCUCACUUCUCCAAAAGAUCAAACACAUUUUACUGUCUAUGACUAAACCAAUGACAG